rnacentral:rRNA from 1 species
CCUACGGGUGGCAGCAGUGGGGGAUAUUGCACAAUGGGGGAAACCCUGAUGCAGCGACGCCGCGUGUGGGAAGACGGUCCUCUGGAUUGUAAACCACUGUCCCCAGGGACGAAGAUGACGGUACCUGGGGAGGAAGCUCCGGCUAACUACGUGCCAGCAGCCGCGGUAAUACGUAGGGAGCGAGCGUUUUCCGGAAUUACUGGGUGUAAGGGGAGCGUAGGCGGGACUGCAAGUUGGGGGUAAAAUCUACCGGCUCAACCGGUAGCCGCACUCAAAACUGCAGUUCUUGAGUGAAGUAGAGGCAGGCGGAAUUCCUAGUGUAGCGGUGAAAUGCGUAGAUAUUAGGAGGAACACCAGUGGCGAAGGCGGCCUGCUGGGCUUUUACUGACGCUGAGGCUCGAAAGUGUGGGGAGCAAACAGGAUUAGAUACCCCUGUAGUC